rnacentral:lncRNA from 1 species
ACAGCACUGAAUUUCAGUUUGGAUAAUUCAUCAUCCCAUUUGAACCUGAAAGUUGAAGAUACCUUGGUAGAGUGGGAUCCUACUGGAGGAAAAGGUCAAGAAAGUAAAAUCAAAGGGAAAGAGAACAAGGGCAGGUAACGUAGCUCAUUAAAUCUGUUAUAUGGAUAAAUGCUUGUACAUUGGUUCUUAUUUGAUAACAUUAAAAUUCUUAUUCUGUAUACCAGUAUGACUUAUGAUACAUUAGUAAUUCCAAAGUGAAAAAUAUAACAUUGCUUGUCAAUACAUGAAUCUGUCAUUAACAUUUUCACAUUACUUUUUUCUUAGUUUCUUUCCUAAUCUCCUUAUACUUUUAAAAAAUUUUAUUAUCCCAUUUCCUUAAAGUUAUAUAUACGGUAACUUGAACUAAUUAGAUGUUCCUAGAAUAAUUUCUGAAUAUUGGGCUUAUCACCUAUCUCACCUAAAAGUCUGCAUUAGAUGACAACUUUUACAGUUUAUAAAAGCCCCACAGACUUGCCUGUGAUGGUGGAACCCAGUGAAUCCAAGAGUCAGGCUCAAGAAUCUUUUGUUAUUGUCAUAACUUACCUAAAUAAUGUCAAAGUUUGGGAACUUUUUUCUUUUUUUACACAGGAAGUUUUUGCUGAAGAUGAAUAUUUUUGUGAGUUCUAACAAUGAAUUUUUAAAAAAUCCUCAGCAGGCUUUUAAUCUAAUUUUAUUAUAAGAAGUUAAACUUAAUUUGUAAAGCAGUCUCUUAACAGUUGCCUAUUUUUAUCUGACAGUGUCCAUGUUACUUCACUGAAGAAACAUACAAGGUGAUGAUCUAUGUCUGUCUAGUUUUAGGACUUAGUAUAUCUAGCUUGGCUGAGUAAUUUUUUCUUUUAACCAGUAAACAGAAGCCACUGCAGCAGGCUUCAAAGCUAAAAUAUUGCUCUGUGUAGACUGUCUGUAUUUUUGUAGCUUAUGUUUUGAAUUUAUAGCAUUAUAGUGUGCUGCUUAUCAUUUGGAUUAUAUUGUAUAAAGAUAACAAAAUAAGCUUUAAAGUCUUCUUUAAUUAUUUUUUCUACUUUAUUUAUAACUGGCAUCUUUCCUAUUGUAUUGAGUUAAAUAUAUCUAACAUUAUUGCUUUGCUUUUUUUAAUAUGUUUAGUUGUUGAUGGACCUUUAUUUUAUUUAUUUAUUUAUAUGUAGGACUAAGAAUUGACCCCAGUGCCUUACACACAUGCUAGGCAAGUGCUCUACCACUGAGCUACCAUCCCAGCCCUUGUGUUUUUUUUUUAAUAUUUAUUUUUUAGGUUAGAUGGACUCAACACAAUGCCUUAUUUUAUGUGGUGCUGAGGAUCGAACCCAGGUCCCGCCUGUGUUAGGCGAGCGCUCUACCGCUGAGCCACAAUCCCAGUCCCCAGCCUUUGCUUUGCUUUUAUUUGUAUUCAACACGAAGCAAGUUUGAAAUGUUCUGUAUUUUAUAAUAAUCAUGCAGCUUCCAAAGUAUCAAGGUUAAGAAAUAAAAGUCACUGCAGAAAUUAUUAGGACAGUGUCAGAAAAAAAUGAAUAAUUUCAAAUUACAUGGUUAAUAACAUGUUUAUUGAAGAUACCGUAUAUCUUUACCAGAAACCAGAAUAUAUUCUCUUUUCAAAGUUACCUCCACUCUUCUUUUCAGUUUAUUUGUUCAUUAUUGAUAAAAGUGAUUUCACAGUGUGCUAUAAAUUAUAAAAUGCUGUUGGGUUUAAUAGUCUUACAAAGUUUUAUUUGGUUACUUGGACGAUUUUUAGACUGCUUUGUAUUUAGCAUUGCAGGUUAUAUUUCUUUCUCUCUUUUCUCCUUUUAAAAGUAUUUUAUAUGUAGGCCACUUCCGGAAUGUUAUACAGGUUCGGAUCCCUUAUUUGAAAUGCUUGGGACUCAAAAAGUGCUUUGGAUUUCAGAUUUUUUUGUAUUUUAGAAUAGUUGCAAAUACAUAAUUAAUUAUAUUUGGUGGGGACCCAAUUCUAAAUCCAGAAUUCAUUUAUGUUUCACAUAUACCUUGGUGGGGACCCAAUUCUAAAUCCAGAAUUCAUUUAUGUUUCACAUAUACCUUUAUAUAUAUAUGUACAUAGGUAAUUUUAUAUAAUAUUUUUUUAAUGUAUCUAUAUUUUGGCUGUGUCUUGUCACAUGAGCUCAGGUGUGGGAUUUUUUUAUUUGUAAUUAUGUUGGUGCUUAAAAAGUUUCCAAUGUCAGAGCAUUUCAGAUUUUUGGAUUAGAGCUGCUCAAACUACAUAUAUUCAUUUACUUUAAAAAAAAAAAAAAAACAUGGUGUCAUUAAAAAAAAAAAAACUUUUAUUUUGUUUAUUUAUUUAUUUAUUUAUUUUUAUGUGGUGCUGAGGAUCAAACUAAGUGCCUCACACGUGCUAGGCAAGUGCUCUACCACUGAGCCACAACCCCAGCCCUCUUUCAUUUUUUUAUUUUUUCAUACAUAAUUGUUCACUGUUAAAUGUGUGCUGAAUGUUAUGGAGUUUAUAGGGAUAAACACUGUUCUUGCCUCAAGAAAUUUGCUUUAACUCAUGUAGAUAAGAUUGCAGAAAAAAAGCAAGAUAAACAUCAUGUGUAAGGAUAAAUGUGAAUAAAAGGGUUCAGAGGGGAAAGAUGUCCAGAGUUCUCGGGUACUGCGGUAUUCAUUUAGGACAGUGAGCCAAACUGAAAGUCAAGCUUUUGCUGAUUUAUGGUGAUAAGUAAGAAGUCAUGAAGGAAUGAGUGGGUUCCUUCAGUGUUCCAUUUUUCCCAGCAAAUGACACUAGUUGGAGGUCCAAUGACUCAACCCAGAUCACAGUUAGAGGGUCUUCUCACUGCCAGGAGGUUCCAAAUAGAAAACUUCUGCUUUAUGGACUUGAGAGCUAAAAAGGUAGGGACAAGAGGGUUAAAAAUGGAAACAUACUAAGUGAAAGGUCCUUACCGCCUUAUUUGCUCUUAAGGAGGUCUUCCUGAAGGUAUUUAAAAAGAAUCUCAGUAUAGGGUUUCCUUCCCAUGGGGGGCCUUUGAAUAGAGUGACAAGGCUAGGAAUGCAAAUAGCUCACCGUUGGGGAAGAAGAUGAAAUUGCAACUUCCUGUAGAAAUCAUGAUGCCCUAACUAACUAUGCACCAAGUCUGGUAUAAGAAGGGCAGCCCACCCUAUCCUUUGUCCUACCCCUGCAAAUCCUGUCACAUAAAGCCUGUGUAAUUGCCUGUGAUUGAGUAUGAAAGGAUUUUGGCCUGGACUGGAUUGCUAAGAAAAGUUAUUUAGAUGGUAGGAUUUGGAAGACCUUUACUAAAUGAAUGGUAUUAAAUUGCUUCUUGGGGAAGAGGGAGAAUUUGUGGUAUUCAGCUUUGCAGUGAGAGUGGGGAACAACAAGAGGAAAAACACUUAAGCAGACUGAGUGAGUUUAAAGAACCCUUUGGUACAUUUGGUUGUGUAAUACUCUCUAGGGUGAGAAGGGUAGGAAGGCGGACUAAAUCAUUUGUAGAUAAUAUGGAAGUACAUGUUGAUUUUGAAGUAGGGGAAUAGAGCUAAGUUUAUCUUAUAAUAGUGAACAAGAUGAACUGGAUAACAGAAAGAACAUUUGGGAAACUGUAAAAUAAUUUGACCCAAGGAACCUUUAUGAAGCGAGGUGGGAGGUCAUGUUUUUACUUAAGAUGUUAAUAACUAUUGUACCUCUUGCAAAAAUGUACUUAAGAGUUGGAAUGCAGCAAUGGAAGAGUAACCCUCUAACUUUUCUCUGAAACUCAACUGCCAUUCUCAAUAGUUACGACUGUUUUUCUUUUCUCCAUGCUUCCCUUUGUUUCUUUACUACUGGUAAGUCACAAUUUUUUUUCUUAAAAAAUAUUUUUCUGGCUAUCAAGUGAGCUCUUAUAUUUUGAAGCAGUGCUAAGUAAAAAUUUUGUNCUCAUGAGGCUGAGGCAGGACUAUCUCAGGUUCAAAGCCAGCCUCAACAAUUUAGCAAGGUCUGAAGCAACUAAGUGAAAAACCCUAUCUCUAAAUAAAACAUAAAAAGGGUUGGGGAUGUGACUCAGUGGUUCAGCACCCCUGGUUCAAUCCUGGUGUCAAAAAAGGAAAGGAUUAAUUAAAACUACUUAUUUUACAUAAUUAUCAACAUUCAGAGUUGAAUUAACUUGGAAGGAGGAAGAUUAAUGUGCAAUUAAUAUUUUGGUGACUUUGUGAAUUGGGCAAUUUUUGGUGAGCUAUCCUGAAUGACUACUCAUUUUUUUCUAGAGGAGAAUUUCAUUUUAGAUAAGUGGUUUCAAUGAACUUUUGAAGAAUGAUGGUAAAUCAUACUAAACUCAUUAAACAGAUAGUCUGAAGACUUAAACGUUUUUGAUACAAUUUACAAACCAUGUUAAGCCAGUCUUAUUUUUGACCCCCUUUCUUCUUAUGUCUUUCUAUUGAUGUAUCAAAAACAGUGGUUUUUAUACUUUUUUUCCCCUUUUUGUGUACAACAGAGUGGUUUUUUCAAAUGAAAUGUUUCCAGAAGCCUGAGCUGAAAAGAGAAGAGGAUUGCUGGUUCAAGUAGGGAAGGAGCCCUAGAGCAGGUGUCUUCCAGAGUCCUAUAGCAGCCUCUGUGGCAUCUGUAUAGUUCAGGACAUGGUUUGAAAACUACCCACUUCGAAAUACUUUGUCCCCCAACAGAAGAUAAAAAUAAUGCUACAUUUAAAAGAAAAUUCAGAGGAAAUGACUGUUAUCUUUUCUCCUUAGUUCAAGAUAAAAUACUUGAAAAUACACAGACCUUUUAUAAGGUCUUUUGUGUGUGUUGGGGAGCGUAUUGGUAAUUUAAUCCAGAGUUGCUCUACCACUGAGCUACAUCUUCAGUCUUUUUUAUUUUUUGGGAUAGGAUCUAACAAAGUUGCUGGUCUUGAACUUGUGAUCCUUCUGCCUCAACCUCUGGAAUAGCUGGGAAGGUUUUUAAACAUUCUUGAUUAGCUUAUAUGAAAAGUAUCAGAAAGAAAAUUGUGAUGCAGUGUUUUUUUCUUAAUGUCAACUUAAGAUGUCAUUGACAGAAUGUAGAAUUUGAUUUCUUACUACUUAAUGACACCUCCCCCCAAAGGCAUAUACAAAUGUUUAUUUUGGAAAGUAGAUAACACAUUUAAGAGAGAAUGGGAGCAGUCUCAAAAAAGAGAUGCCUUGGGGUAAAGCAAGGAAUAUUCCUAGGGAGCAUGUGGGUUAUCUCCAGAGGGAGAGACAGCAACCCAUUAGUGUGGGCCACUCAUGUUUAUAGAGGGCAAGUGCUAGGGGAUGAACUAGAGGUGGAGCCAGAGUGGAGCUACACAGUUUUGCACCAGUUUCCCUUUGCUUGUGCAUUUCCUUAACAUGCAUGGGCCAAGGGCAUGUAGCUCAAGAUUGACAAUUGUGCUUUCUGCAUGUCAAUGGCUAGUGGGCAUUUCCUUUAAGACUCUCUCUCUUUAUCCUAAAUCCCUGUGUCCUAUGUAAUGACUUUUAAUAUUAUAUAAUAAGUAUUAUCUUAGAAAACCUGGUUAAAUCAAACUUUAAGAAAUUAAAACGUAUUUAUUCAGAAUAAUGGGUAUAAAUUUUUCUUCUUUUUUAUUUAUUUGUAUCCUCUGUUUUGGAGAAGGUCCCCAAAACACUUCUAGAUUUCUUCUACCCAUCAAAUGUUUGUUCUCUCCCUUCCCAAUAGGAAGCAACUACUAACCGCCUACCUGAGCACAAGUUUCAGAGAAAUUUUAAUCUACCUGUCCUUAACCACCUCAGUUCAUGCUGUCUGUUCAAAUAGAAUUUAUAAUUAAUUACUUAAGUAUCUUUUUAAAGAAAUAUCUUUAUAAAAAGAACUUUUAACAUCAUUUUGGAAGAAUUAAACCAACUCAUGUAAAUGCUGUAGGUAUAAAGUGCUGCUUAAUAUCAUUUACUAGAAUGUAGACAAAGUGGUCCUGAAUUCAUUGUUUAAUUCUCUGAAACUGCUUAAUAAAUCUGCUAACAUUGACAACAUUUAAGUAAUGCAUAAUGCAGUCACUUAAUCAUGUAAAAUGACUUUAAAUCGUAUCUUUAUUCUUAUUUUGCAUUUUUAUGGGAUUUUUAUUACAAUAUUAUUUGAUAGCUUAUUAAAAUUUACUAAGUUGAUUUCUCCUUAGGAAGAAAAAUUCUAAUGCAAAUAUAUUGAAAAAGUCUUAUUUUUUCUUUUUAGUAGUAAGAAUAUACAUUUCCCCUAAAUAACUUUAUCAUAAUCUUAUCCCCAAAAUUAUUGCUUUUUAAAUGCAAUGAUUUGGUAUAUUUAAAUAUUAUUUUAAAAACAUGUUCGGGCUUUAAUCUUUUUGGAGGUUUUAGAGCUAGUGAAAAGCCUAAUCCUGUCUAGUUUACCAUAAUGCAUCAUUUGAUAGAAGAGGUCAUUUUUUAAUAGCAGAAAUGCUUUAUAAUACUUGAUAAGCUUGUGCAUGGAUUUGUACAAGUGCUUUUUCUCUUUUUAAGAAGAAAAGAUCGAGAUCAAAAAUACCUACUGCUAAUAAAAAAGAUUAGUUAUGAUUAUAAGAAAUAUAGCUUUCCAUUGCUUUUUUUAUUAGUGCAUAUUAAUUUUACAACAUGAUGGGUUUCAUUGUGGUAUAUUCUUGACUUUGCUUUAUUUAAAUUUAAUUACAAAUAUAUAAGCUGUAACCCAAUUUCUUUCUUGCUUUUUUUUCUUUCAGUAAAUCUUGUCUCAUUUUGGCAUUGUUUCUCAUUUCAACUGUGUGUUCUUUGUAUAAAUCUUGCUCAGUCUGCAUGACAUUAGUGUUUUCAGCCUGCUUUGUAUUAAUGGCUUCUUACAUUUGAAUGUUUAUAAUUGGCAGUUCUCUUCAAUAAUAAUUCAAAUUAAAUGAUGCUGUUUCUGCAACAUAAUUAGAAAUAUUUUUAAACAUUAUUUUCAUAAUAUGUAAUUUUAAUUUAUGAAACAUUUCCAACAUAAAAUACUUGUUUUUCUUUUUUUUCCUAUUUAUAUAGAAGUGGUACACCAUCCCCCAAACGGACAUCCGUAGGUUCCAGGCCACCAGCAGUAAGAGGCAGCAGAGACCGUUUCACUGGGGAAUCAUACACAGUGCUAGGUAGGAUAAAACAAUAACUCUUAACAGUCUCAAAUUAAAGGCACCACAGCCACACUGAUAAAUUUUCUACUCCUCAGAGCUAGAGCAGUUUCC